rnacentral:rRNA from 1 species
GACGAACGCUGGCGGCGUGCUUAACACAUGCAAGUCGAACGGUGAAGCGCCUUCCUUUUUGGUGGGUGUGGAUGAGUGGCGAACGGGUGAGUAACACGUGAGUCACCUGCCACCUUCUUCUGGAUAACCGCAUGAAAGUGUGGCUAAUACGGGAUAUUCUGGGUCUGUCGCAUGAAGGGUCUGGGAAAGAUAUUGUGUCGGUGGGGGAUGGGCUCGCGGCCUAUCAGCUUGUUGGUGGGGUGAUGGCCUACCAAGGCGGCGACGAGUAGCCGGCCUGAGAGGGUGGACGGCCACACUGGGACGGCGACACGCCGCAGACUCCGACGGGCAGCAGCAGUGGAUAUUACGGCACAAGGGGCGCAAUCCUGAUGCAGCGACGCCGCGGGAGGGAUGGAGUCCUGCGGGUUGUGAACCGCUUUCGCCAGUGAAGCAGGCCUGCCUCGUUUGUGGGUGGGUUGACGGUAGCUGGAUAAGAAGCGCCGGCUAACUACGUG